AUGAAAUGAUGAGAUGAACUGAUGAGAUGAAAUGAAAUGAAAUAAUGAAAUGAAAUUGAAAUAAAUAAAUAAAAUUGAAAUGAGAUGAGAUGAAAUGAUGAGAUGAUGAAAUAAAAUGAUAAAAUGAUGAGAUGUGAUGAGAUGAAAUGAUGAGAUGAGAUGACAUGAAAUAAUGAAAUGAAAUAAUGAAAUGAAAUUGAAAUGAGCUGAGAAGAUACGAGAUGAAAUGAAGUGAUGAGAUGAAAUGAUGAAAUGAUAAGAUGAAAAGAGUUGAUGAGAUGAUAAGAUGAAAUGAUGAGAUGAAAAGAUGAGAUGAAAUGAAAUGAUGAGAUGAAAUGAGAUGAAAUGAAAUUAGACGAAAUGUAAUGAGAUGAAAUGAAAUGACGAAAUGAAAAAAUGAAAUAAUGAAAUGAG
rnacentral:lncRNA from 10 species